rnacentral:rRNA from 1 species
ACACAUGCAAGUCGAACGAGAGAGAAGGAGCUUGCUUCUUCGAUCGAGUGGCGAACGGGUGAGUAACGCGUGAGGAACCUGCCUCAAAGAGGGGGACAACAGUUGGAAACGACUGCUAAUACCGCAUAAGCCCACGGGUCGGCAUCGACCUGAGGGAAAAGGAGCAAUCCGCUUUGAGAUGGCCUCGCGUCCGAUUAGCCAGUUGGUGAGGUAACGGCCCACCAAGGCGACGAUCGGUAGCCGGACUGAGAGGUUGAACGGCCACAUUGGGACUGAGACACGGCCCAGACUCCUACGGGAGGCAGCAGUGGGGAAUAUUGCACAAUGGGGGAAACCCUGAUGCAGCGACGCCGCGUGGAGGAAGAAGGUCUUCGGAUUGUAAACUCCUGUUGUUGAGGAAGAUAAUGACGGUACUCAACAAGGAAGUGACGGCUAACUACGUGCCAGCAGCCGCGGUAAAACGUAGGUCACAAGCGUUGUCCGGAAUUACUGGGUGUAAAGGGAGCGCAGGCGGGAAGACAAGUUGGAAGUGAAAUCUAUGGGCUUAACCCAUAAACUGCUUUCAAAACUGUUUUUCUUGAGUAGUGCAGAGGUAGGCGGAAUUCCCGGUGUAGCGGUGGAAUGCGUAGAUAUCGGGAGGAACACCAGUGGCGAAGGCGGCCUACUGGGCACCAACUGACGCUGAGGCUCGAAAGUGUGGGUAGCAAACAGGAUUAGAUACCCUGGUAGUCCACACCGUAAACGAUGAUUACUAGGUGUUGGAGGAUUGACCCCUUCAGUGCCGCAGUUAACACAAUAAGUAAUCCACCUGGGGAGUACGACCGCAAGGUUGAAACUCAAAGGAAUUGACGGGGGCCCGCACAAGCAGUGGAGUAUGUGGUUU